CUUGAGUGUCUUUCAGAGUAAAGUCUUUUUGGGUCAGACUCUUCGCUAAACAAAAUGUUUCACGUGUUUGUUUUGUUCUGUUUGUGCUGCUGGACUAGUGUGUUUGGUGAUUCAGUGUCAGUGAUGGAGGGAGAUUCUGUCACUCUAAACUCUGAUCUUACUGAAAUAUGUGAAGACGACGACAUACUGUGGAAAUAUGGAGCUGAAAACUCUCUGAUAGCUAAAAUCAAUAAAGAGAAACAAAUCUUCCCUGAUAAGAGAUUCAGAGACAGACUGAGCUGGACGAUCAAACUGGAUCUCUGACCAUCACAAACAUCAGGACUGAACACACUGGACACUAUGAACUAGAGAUAAAUGGACCCAGGUGGUCAUCAAAAACAUUCAGUGUUUCUGUCUAUGCUCGUCUGCCCAUUCCUGUCAUUAUCAGAGAUUAUUCACAAAACCUUUCAUCGCCAUCAAGCCAGAACUGUUCAUUGUUGUGUUCAUCUGUGAAUGUGAGUGAUGUGACUCUCUCCUGGUACAAAGGAAACAGUUUAUUGUCCAGCAUCAGUGUGUCUGAUCUCAGCUUCAGUCUCUCUCUACCUCUGGAGGUGGAAUAUCAGGAUAACAACACCUACAGCUGUGUGCUGAACAAUCCCAUCAGCAACCAAAUCAAACAUCUCAACAUCACUCAAGUCUGCCAGAUUCACUCAGAUCGGCGUCUAUCUUUAUUUAACAUAGUGCUGAUUUCUGCUACUGCUGGAUCUCUAGUGAUUGUAGCUGUGGUUGGGAUCUGCUGCAUCUGCAGGAAAUGUAGAAAAUCAGUUCAGACAGAGGAAGACAGAACUCAUUCAGCGCUGUGUAAACCAACAACACGACAAAAGAAAUCAAAGAUGGAGGCUGUGUACGAAAAUGUCCCCAAAAAGCGAUAAUCAAAUUACGUCUCUAUUCAGGUUUAUUCUCUGACAGGAUGUCAUUUUUAUAUAUAUAUUUUAUUAUAUGUCAUACAUAAUUGACACUGUAUCAUGUAGUUCUGUAUAGUUUCAUAGUGUUUUGGUUGUGGCCUCCAGGACAUACAAUGUCAUCCUGUCUUGUCAUCUCAUCAGCUACGCCUGGGUUUUCAGAUCUCCUGGCUCCACUGUUGGUUGUUUGAACUAUUGGCUCCUCCCUUGCUCCUCCCACCAUUGUUUCCGCCAUGGGCCUUCGUACUAACUGUGAUUUCCUCCUGACACCAAACUGCCUUUGAAACUGCCCUUUGUAUUAUUUAAAGCUGCUGUAUUAUUUGAAGGGGUACCUUUCUCUCGUCAUCCUUUGUGGACUAAUUUGUCACACAUCUAUUGCAAUAUAUUGCAGUGUAUUACCUUUAUUCAACUGCAAAGUCCCCAAAGGAAGCUUUGUGCACAACUGUUUUCUCUAAAGUUCUCAGUUUCUUCAUAUUCAUCUCCUUCUUCCCUUCCUUCUUAAAAAUGACCCUUCCUCGUAUUUCAGACAUAUUUUUAAAAGAAAUUUCAGUUAUGUCAAAUAAAAAUGUUUGGAUCCGAAGCAGGGUACAUUCAGAGAAUAAGUUACUAUGGCUGUUUACAUACCCUGAGAGUUAUCCAGUUUUUGGAAACAAACAUUUAAGUUUUACCUAUCUGUAACCUUACCAGGGUUAUACUGUAUGUUGCAUAACCUGCUUUCUGCUUAGUCCCAUACUUGUUUCCCUAAAUGAACCGCACAAAAGUUUUUGAUGUUAAGAACCAUAUAAGAGCUGGACCAAAUCAUGCAAAAAAAGAUUUAUUACUUAAUAUGAUUAAAUAACAAUGAAUCAAGUUUUGGAUUUGAAAUCAUAAUUUCUAGUGAACAGAAUAUGAAAAUGUUAUAUUAGAGUGCAUUAAUAAGUGUAUA